rnacentral:rRNA from 1 species
CUUAGCAGAGAUGCUUUGGUGCCUUCGGGAACUCUGAGACAGGUGCUGCAUGGCUGUCGUCAGCUCGUGUUGUGAAAUGUUGGGUUAAGUCCCGCAACGAGCGCAACCCUUAUCCUUUGUUGCCAGCGGUUCGGCCGGGAACUCAAAGGAGACUGCCAGUGAUAAACUGGA